CUAGGUAUAGCUCAGUGGUAGAGCACCUGCCUAGCAUGCAUGAAACCCUGGGUUCAACCCUCAGCACUGGGA
rnacentral:tRNA from 1 species